UACGAAGGGUGCAAGCGUUAGUCGGAAUUACUGGGCGUAAAGCGUGCGUAGGUGGUUUCUUAAGUCCGUUGUGAAAGCCCUGGGCUCAACCUGGGAACUGCAGUGGAUACUGAGAGGCUAGAGUGUGUCAGAGGAUGGUGGAAUUCCCGGUGUAGCGGUGAAAUGCGUAGAGAUCGGGAGGAACAUCAGUGGCGAAGGCGGCCAUCUGGGACAACACUGACGCUGAGGCACGAAAGCGUGGGGAGCAAAC
rnacentral:rRNA from 1 species